UCUUUGUGCAGUACAAGCUUCUGAAAUGAGAGCCACAGUAAGGAACCAGAUAACAUCAGGAGGUGCAGCCUCCACUGCCUACUUGGCCGCCACUUGCAACGCUUGAACUCUGCCUUACGAGCAGAGAACAACUUUGUCUGACUAAUGCGAAGCAGAAGCUGCCUGUGGAUAAGCAAGUGACAUGAGAAGAUGCAGAGGGAGUGAUUGGCACAGAGAUUAGCAACAAACCGGACAUGAAAACCACCCCGGUGGCAUUGUAGCCUCCGUACAUGGCAGCGACAGUGACCCUUAAUCCAGGACCUGAUCUCAUAGGCACGUCCGGCUCCACAAACUUUCAGCCUUUGUGUGAUCUCUCCAUCAAGUGGCGUUGUGCCGCUAGUGUCGCCAGAGAGAAUGAAGUGUUGCCAACGAGACAACAAUGCAGUGGGAGCCUGGAUUGCGGACGUUGAUGAAUGCUUUAAGGGGCAAACAUGCAUUUUAACCCUUACAUAGCUUAUCAUAAGAUCUCGAGUUUGAGUCAUGUAAUAUGAAGCUGCAGUCAUAUCUAAUAAAUAUGCUAAAGGGCAUUCUGAGGUA